GGUCCCAUGGUCCAGUGGUUAAGAUGUCUCGUUUACACCGAGAAGGUCGGAGGUUCGAAUCCUCCUGGGACCA
rnacentral:tRNA from 1 species